GCUUCGGCUCGUGCACGGUGUGCGCACCCACUGACCUGCGCCCACUGUCUGGCACUCCCUAGUGAGAUGAACCCGGUACCUCAGAUGGAAAUGCAGAAAUCACCGUCUUCUGCGUCGCUCACGCUGGGAGCUGUAGACUGGAGCUGUUCCUAUUCGGCCAUCUUGGCUCCUCCCCCGUUGGAUGGUUGACGCUUCCUGAUGAUUAAAAUCAAUAUACACAUUCCAGGUUGGAACAGAAGAAAUGCAGUAUUCCUCUGAGGACAUCACUUCUGGAGCUUUAUUGACGUAUGAUUGAAAAAGGAAAAUUGUGUAGAUCUAAGGUGUACAAUGCUAUGAAUACAUGGUUUCAGGCCUCAUGUUUAAGUCUCUGGUAGUUCUUUAUAGCAAUGCAAGAACGGACUAAUACACCUGGACACUGAUCUCAUCUGGUGAAAGACUGUGGGUAAUCAAAGCAUUUCUGCGGAGUGGUUGCAAGGCAUGCCUGCGACGAGACAGGUUGUUGGCAGUGAGUGAGUGUAGCAUUGUUCUUUCUCAAGAUUGCUUUAGCUGUCUUCUUGAUCUUGUGGUUCCAUGUAAAUUUUAUGGUUUCAUACAAUUUUUAAUAUUACUUUUUUUGUUUCUGUAAAUAAAUGUCAUUGAAAUUUUAACAGAGAUUGCAUUCAGUCUGUAAAUUGCUUUGGGUAGCAUGGACAUUUUAACAAUAUUAAUUGUUCCAGUCCAUAAACAUAGGACAUCUUUCCAUUUAUUUGUGUCUACUUCAAAUUCUUUCAUCCACGUUUUACAGUUUUCAGUGUACAGAUUUUUCACCUCCUUUGUUAAAUUUAUUCUUUGUUACUUUAUUCUUUCUGACACUGUUGUAAAUGGAACUUUAUAAAGAAUAAUAUGUUUCGGGUGUUUAUUAAAUAUAGAAACACAGCUGAUUUUCGUGUGUUGAUUUUGAAUCCUGC
rnacentral:lncRNA from 10 species